rnacentral:rRNA from 1 species
CGCGGCCUAUCAGCUUGUUGGUGAGGUAACGGCUCACCAAGGCGACGACGGGUAGCCGGCCUGAGAGGGUGACCGGCCACACUGGGACUGAGACACGGCCCAGACUCCUACGGGAGGCAGCAGUGGGGAAUAUUGCACAAUGGGCGCAAGCCUGAUGCAGCGACGCCGCGUGAGGGAUGACGGCCUUCGGGUUGUAAACCUCUUUCAGCAGGGGAGAAGCGAAAGUGACGGUACCUGCAGAAGAAGCGCCGGCUAACUACGUGCCAGCAGCCGCGGUAAUACGUAGGGCGCGAGCGUUGUCCGGAAUUAUUGGGCGUAAAGAGCUUGUAGGCGGUUUGUCGCGUCUGCUGUGAAAGCCCGGGGCUUAACCCCGGGUUUGCAGUGGGUACGGGCAGACUAGAGUGCAGUAGGGGAGACUGGAAUUCCUGGUGUAGCGGUGAAAUGCGCAGAUAUCAGGAGGAACACCAAUGGCGAAGGCAGGUCUCCGGGCUGUAACUGACGCUGAGAAGCGAAAGCAUGGGGAGCGAACAGGAUUAGAUACCCUGGUAGUCCAUGCCGUAAACGUUGGGCACUAGGUGUGGGGAACAUUCCACGUUUUCCGCGCCGUAGCUAACGCAUUAAGUGCCCCGCCUGGGGAGUACGG